AUUGAACGCUGGCGGCAUGCUUUACACAUGCAUGUCGAACGGUAACAGGUUAAGCUGACGAGUGGCGAACGGGUGAGUAAUGCAUCGGAACGUGCCCGGUCGUGGGGGAUAACACUUCGAAAGAAGUGCUAAUACCGCAUACGAUCUGAGGAUGAAAGCGGGGGACCGUAAGGCCUCGAGCGAUCGGAGCGGCCGAUGUCAGAUGAGGUAGUUGGUGGGGUAAAGGCCUACCAAGCCGACGAUCUGUAGCUGGUCUGAGAGGACGACCAGCCACACUGGGACUGAGACACGGCCCAGACUCCUACGGGAGGCAGCAGUGGGGAAUUUUGGACAGUGGGCGCAAGCCUGAUCCAGCAAUGCCGCGUGCAGGAAGAAGGCCUUCGGGUUGUAAACUGCUUUUGUACGGAGCGAAAAGGCUCUCUCUAAUACAGGGGGCUGAUGACGGUACCGUAAGAAUAAGCACCGGCUAACUACGUGCCAGCAGCCGCCGUAA
rnacentral:rRNA from 1 species